GAGAGUAGAUGAGUUCUGGUGGACUUGCGAGUCUUCAAAACUAUGUUGUCGUGCUAAUACCACGAUAGGUGGGUUCGAUUCCUACAUACUCUCGCCA
rnacentral:tRNA from 3 species